GUCCCAGACUCCUACGGGAGGCAGCAGUGAGGAAUAUUGGUCAAUGGGCGGGAGCCUGAACCAGCCAAGCCGCGUGAAGGAAGAAGGCGCCAGGCGUCGUAAACUUCUUUUGUCGGGGAACAAAGGGCGCCACGUGUGGCGUUGUGAGUGUACCCGAAGAAAAAGCAUCGGCUAACUCCGUGCCAGCAGCCGCGGUAAUACGGAGGAUGCGAGCGUUAUCCGGAUUUAUUGGGUUUAAAGGGUGCGUAGGCGGUCCGGAAAGUCGGGGGUAAAAGCCGGGGGCCCACCCCCGGCGAGCCGUUGAAACUGUCGGACUAGAGACGGCGAGAAGUACGCGGAAUGCGCGGUGUAGCGGUGAAAUGCAUAGAUAUCGCGCAGAACUCCGAUUGCGAAGGCAGCAUACCGGUGCACAACUGACGCUCAGGCACGAAAGCGUGGGUAUCGAACAGGAUUAGAUACCCUUGUA
rnacentral:rRNA from 1 species